UCCUGGUUAGCUCAGUUGGUAGAGCGCUCCACUUGAAAUGGAGAGGUCCCGGGUUCGAUACCCGGACCAGGCG
rnacentral:tRNA from 1 species